rnacentral:tmRNA from 1 species
UUUGGAUCUAGACCACAAGUUUUAGCAUACGCUUAAGCUUUAGUCUUGUUCAUAAUCUUCUUUCCUCAACGGGAAGUUAUGGGCACAAACACAGUUGAGGAUAUUAGUAAGGAAAUCGGUUUGUUUCCUUAUCGAACUUAUCUAACCUUGGCUUUACUACUCCUGUCAAUUGGAAAAAGUAAAGCGAAAUCCAAAAAUUGACUACGCUUGUAGAAGUUGUAAGAAGAUUUUACUCGGACUCCGGUUCACUGCCGGACAUCUCCACCC